rnacentral:rRNA from 1 species
UACGUAGGGUGCAAGCGUUGUCCGGAAUUAUUGGGCGUAAAGAGCUCGUAGGCGGUUUGUCGCGUCUGCUGUGAAAACUCGGGGCUUAACCCCCGGGCCUGCAGUGGGUACGGGCAGACUAGAGUCCGGAAGAGGAGAGUGGAAUUCCUGGUGUAGCGGUGAAAUGCGCAGAUAUCAGGAAGAACACCAAUGGCGAAGGCAGCUCUCUGGGACGGUACUGACGCUGAGACGCGAAAGCGUGGGAGCGAACAGG